GUGCUAACUUCAACAGCACAUAUACUAAAACUGGAAUAAUACAGAGAAGAUUAGAAUGGCCUGUGCAUAGGGAUGACAUGAAGAUUUGUGAAGUGUUUCAUAUUUUU
ensembl:snRNA U6 U6 spliceosomal RNA